rnacentral:lncRNA from 1 species
UCUUUAGGAGGCAGGCAAACUCCAAAAAUACCACUAACAAUUAUUUCUUUUUUCCUUUGCAGGGUUCCUUAGGACUAGAAGGUCCCCAAGGUCCACCUGGGAAAGAAGGUCAAAGGGGAAGGCGAGGCAAAACAGGACCCCCUGGAAAACCAGGACCACCGGGACCUCCUGUAAGUAAAUAGUAGUGGCUAUGGCUUUUAAAAAGUAUUUGCUUAUGGCAUUUUAAUAUAAUUUUUAUCUACCUUUAACUUCAACGCUCCUGAUACAUACACAUGUACUCAGUAAACCCU